UAGGCCGAGGCAGGUGGAUCACGAGGUCAAGAGAUCAAGACCAUCCUGGUCAACAUGGUGAAACCCCGUCUCUACUAAAAAUACAAAAAAUUAGCUGGGCAUGGUGGCAUGUGCCUGUAAUCCCAGCUACUCAGGAGGCUGAGGCAGGAGAAUUGCCUGAGCCCAGGAGGCAGAGAUUGCGGUGAGCCGAGAUCGCGCCAUUGCACUCCCGCCUGGGUAACAAGAGCGAAACUCCGUCUCAAAAAAAAAAAAAGAAUUCUAAUUUUCAACAUGAGGAAACUGAAACAGAAAGAAAUUUAAUAAUUUGCCUAGUCAGUGCUGGAGCUAGGUUUCAAGCCCAAGCAGUUUGGCUAUAUGACAUGGCACUACCUCUCAGGCUUUGUUGUUUGGCACAUUGAGGUUCAGCAUUAUUAUAACCUCCUGGUUAAUUGUUCGAUUUAUCCUUAUGUCCUUAUUCUCUUUAUCAUUACUGAUGCAGUUUGUCUCAGUGCAACAUAAUAUUAAUAUUUCUGUAACUGGUUUAUCUAUCACAUCUUUUUCUAUCCCUUUGCUUUCUUCCUUCCUCUGACAUUAGAUUUUAAGUGUCUCUCGGAGGUAACUUACAAAUAGAUUUGUUUUUCCCCUUUUUACUUUAUAAUGUGCCUUCACACAACAAAUACGGAGUAUCUGCAUAAUUCCUAUUCUCAAUAUUUUGAAAAACAAAAGUUAUGAGGAAACAGAAAAGGAAGCAAUUAAAAGAGAGAAAAAGUCAAAUUGAAGAUUGAGAGAGAUUGAGAAAGAAAAAAAUUAUCUCUAUAUCUUUAUAUCCUCCAAUAUCACUGACCACAGUAGUUCUUCCCUACCAAAAAUUCUCUUCUCACUAGUUCUUUUCUUCUUCUUUUUUUUCCCCUGGGUCAGAGUUUUGCUCUUGUUGCCCAGACUGGAGUGCAAUAGUGUGAUCUCAGCUUACUGCAACCUCUGUCUCCUGAGUUCAAAUGAUUCUCCUCCCUCAGCUUUCCGAGUAGCUGGGAUUACAGGCAUGCACCACCACAGUUGGUUAAUUUUGUACUGUUUUUAGUAGAGAUUUUUUUUUUUUAUUAGAGAUCACCUGGCCUCAGGCGAUCCACCCACCUUGGCCUCCCAAAGUGCUGGCAUUAUAGGCAUGAGCCAAUGCACCCAGCCUUCACUGGUUCUUUUUAUGACCUGUUUGUACAUUUUUUGGCAUCUCUGUUGUCACUGCAAAUAUGCUGCCUUAAUAUUAGAACAACAGGUGGGGAUCCACCAGCUCAUCUCACUGCCACCAGAGACACAGACACGGCCUUUGUUCAACUGACUCUGGAACUGUGUGAGGAACUGCUGGAUUCUAUAGUGCCCAACAGGCAGCUCUCACCUGACUGCCAAAGAGCUGCAGGGCUUGAGGAUGGCAGUUCCGAGGUGGAUGUACAAGAAUAUAAUGCUGCUUGGAAGGCUGCCACUCUGAUUGAUGAAGAGGUAGGAAAGUUCUUUUCCUGUUCAGCUCUUUAUAGCUUAGAGGUUGGGUAAAGUAUAAUUUUGUGAGCAAACUUUAUGUUUUUCUCUACCUGAGUUACCUUAAAUUUAAAAACCACUUAUGAGUAUUCUUAUCUGAUAGCAAUAGAGUUAUUUGUAUAAGUUCAGUAAGAAUCUUUUUUCUCACAGGGCAUAAGUGGAGACACUGGUGAUUUUGCCAAGGAUUUGACUGGAAUGGCGUAUUUUCAGAAUUGACCAGACUGAAGAAUGGAGGUUGACUUUAUAUAGUCUUUCUAGGAGAGACUGGCCUAGUACCUUGUCUAUAUGGUUUUCUUACAAGAUUUCUGACCUGUGCACAACACAACUGACCUGGUGAAGUUGUACCCCUGACGCUGGGAGGUCGCCCUAAUUCCCUCCCUUCCAAUCCCUGGUCUGGCCUGACCUCACUUGUUUUGAGACAGCCAGGUGGGAAGGGGUCCUCGGAGAAUGUCCAUCCUCUUCAACUGACCUGCCUACUGGGAGGAGCCACAAGAGUUCCCAGCAUCUGCAUCAGGGAGGAGCCUGGCCCCUCUUCUUCCUGUGUGGAAACCAGGAUUCUAAUGGCUGGGUGGGAGGUGCUGUAGCAGCAACUCUGGCCUAGCGAGAGUCCCUGUUUCCCUCCUUUCUCUUUUUCACCCAAUAAUACCCUGUCUUACUCAUCCAAAUUCAAAUUGUCUGUGAGCCUGAAUUUUCAUGGCCAUGGGACAAAAAUCCCUGUCUUCAGCUGAACUAAAGGAAAGUCCUGCUGCACUUCCUCCUUAGAGACUCUUUGACUGUACGUCUUGAACCCAGGCUGCCAGAACAAAUACCAUGGACGGGGUGGCUUCAAAAACAGACAUAUAUUUUCUCACAGUUCUGCAGACUGGAAAUUGGAGAUCAUAUGCUGACUACAUCAACAUAGUCGGGGUUUGUGGAGGGAUCUCCUCCUCACUUGUAGACAGUGCAGACAGUCAUCUUCUCAAUGUGUCCUCACAGGGCCUUUCCUCUGUGUGCAUGCAGAGAGACAGCUCUGGUCUUUCUCUUCUUAUAAAGGCAAUAGUCCUAUUGGACUAAGGCCCUGCCCUUAGGAUCUCACUUUUCCACACCAUUCUUUAUUAUCUCCAUCUAGGCUCCAUCUCCAAAUACAGCCACAUUGGGAUUUGCCCUUCAACAUAAUGAAUUGGAGGGGGGCAGUGAGGCACGGUUCAGUCCAUAGCACAUUGCUCUCCUCUCCAGACCUCUCUGCCACUGGCAAGUCCUUUCAUCUCAAUUUCAGUUCUGUGAGGCCAUCCUACCAUUGUCUAUCACCCUGUUUGAUUUUUUUUGUAGCCUCAUCAUUUAUUCAUUACAGUUUUUUAAGUUCUGUUUUUUAGGGAGCUUGUCACUGCCUAGAUGAGUGCUGGGCACACAAUAGGUGGAUAUUCAAUAGGCAUGUGUUGAAUUUUAAUUCUGACGUUUGGAAUCUGCCCUGUGUUAACUUCCUUGAGAGGGCUGCCUCGCUAAGGAACAAUGACCAGAUGAUGAGUGGUUGUGUCUCGGCCAGAGGGAGGGCAGCUGCACCUAGGGUCUGCUGUUUAACACUGACUCUGUACCAUGAAGGAGGAUGUAAGUUUCUAUAAAUUCACGUAUUCUACAACCUUAUGUAUUCUGCAAAUAAAAUACUAUUUUUCUCUUA